rnacentral:lncRNA from 10 species
GCCGCGCUGGCCACGGAGGGUGACGCAGAACUGCUCAUCUCCAGGGAAAGGCGACAUCCCGAGAGCCCUCCAGAGCAGAUCUGAGCUCUGCUGGGCGGGGAAGCGGAGACUGAUUCGCCGCGGUCGCGGGCCCAGCGGCUGGGAGGUCCCGCGCUGGCCGAGCAAAUGAGGAGGGCGCAGGGCACGGGGGCGGUGCGCGCCCAGGACAGUUUCCCGUCGGCUUCUCCCGGACUGUCCUACCACUUCCAUCUCGGAGCGGGAUGCUCGGAUCCCCGCAAGGCCUCCUGCGGACGUGGGAGAGUUGCUGAGACAGGUGAGAGUUGAUGAGGCUCAGCGUCUCCAGAUAAAAGAAGGGACAGAGCUGUCGGUGCGGUGAGGUUUGAAAAGUUGCGGCGGCCCCGGCAGCUGCAGGGGGCGAGCGCGGAGCAAAGCCCGGGCCGCACCAGACGGGCCCUGAGUCUCCAGGGCUCCUCGUCCCCAUGCGCCAGCGUGUCUGAUGCUUCACUGGACCCGGGUCUCUUUCUCAAUGUCAUCUCACAGCCUCUGUCCCUUGGGAGGAGACCAACACUAAAAGUGCAGUGAUGAGCCUCAUGUCUCACAGUUAGUCAGGCUCCUAAUCCAAAAGCCACUGCUAUGACCUGCGCUUCCGGACAUUCUGCCAUUUGAUCCCUACAACCUCACUACCUGAAGGACUAUAUUUUGAUCAUUCUUAAUGGGCCAGCUUCAAACCCCGUCAAGUUUUGAAGAGGGCAGAUGAAGCUGAUGACAGCUCCAGUUCCAGCUAUGGGUGACCUGUCUGUCUGCCUUUUUUGAGCUGUGGAGUGAUCAGAGUCAUAUUCGCUGCCUGUGCAGUACCACAGGCCUGAUGAAAAUGAAAUGGCAACACCACACAGAUGGCGAAGCGUAGGUCUCACAAGCGUCCUGGCCACGAAGCGUUGUCUUCAGCUUCGAUGUCUUAGCCUUGAGAGAGCAGCAGGGCCAUUCAGCAGUCAUUUAGCCACAGGAAUGUCCGUCACUGAAGGCUGUUUCUGCUGUUGUAUUCUGUCUCAGACCUAGAUGCCUGCAGUUUCCUCGGAUUGAAAACAUGGAGGGAUCUCCUGGUGCAGUGAGUCCAGCAUAUCCAGAGUGAAGCACAGUCACUGGUCAUUUUACACUACAUGGAAAAUCUCAACAAGUUUCAAAUUUUGAUAUUUUGGGUAUCUCUCCACUCUCCUCCGCAUCCAGUACAUCACCGCCAUGGGCUGAAUGUUUGUGUCCCGGCAAAUUUCUGUGUUGAAAUCUAAGCCCCAAGAUGAUGGUAUCAGAGAUGAGGGCUUUGGCAGGUGGUUAAGCCGUGAAGACAGAGGCCUGAUGAAAGGGGUUGGUGCCUUUAGAAAAGAGGCCUCAGAUAGCUGUCCCGUCCCUUCUACCAUGUGGGAAUGAAGAGAGACAGUAUCACCUGUGAACCAGAAGGUGGCGCUCACCAGACAUUGAAUCUGCUGAUGCAGUGUUCUCGGAUGUGAACCAGAAAAUCUGAGACGGGUCUUAGUUAAUUUGGAAAGUUUAUUUUGCCAAGGUUGAGGACGUGCUUGUGACACAGCCUCAGGAAAUCCUGAUGACAUGUGCCCAAGGUGGUCAGGGCACAGCUUGGUUUUAUACAUUUAGGGAGACAUGAGGCAUCAAUUAAUAUAUGUAAGAAACACUGGUUCGGUCUGGAAAGGCGGGAAAACUUGAAGCAAAGGCAGGAAGGCUGGAAGCAGGGAGGGAGCUUCCAGGCCACAGAUAGGUGAUACACAAAUGGUUACAUCCUUUUGAAUUUCUCAUUAGCCUUUCCAAAGGUGGCAAAUCAGAUAUGCAUCUAUCUCAGUGAGUAGAGGAAUGGCUUUGAAUAGAAUGGGAGGCAGGUUUGCCCUAAGCAGUUCCCGGCUUGAGUUUUCCUUAGUGAUUUUGGAGUCCCAAGAUAUUUUCCUUUCACAUGGACUUCCCAGCCUUUAGAACUGUCAGAGAUAAAUGUCUGUUGUUUAUAAGCCACCCAGUUUAUGGCAUUUUGUUAUAGCAGCCCAAACCAAAUAAGAAGACCGCCAGCCAGUUCUACCUAAACAGUCCCUCCAUGUGUCCACCAUCCUGAGUCCCCAUUACCACGCCUUGUCCAGACCCCAGCAUUUCUGUGACUUGAUGCAAUAUAAGUUUACUGCCUAAAUAACAGGUACAGGACUUUGUGUGGACAAAUGUGCUCUUUUCUCCUGGGGUAAUAUCUACGUACAAAUGACUGGGUCACGUGGUAGGUAUUUUUAACUUUUUAAAAAACUACCAAACUGUUUUCCAUAGUCUUUGCACCAUUUCACUUUCCCACCAGCAAUGAAUGAGUGUUCCAGUAACUCUGCAUUCUCAACAGCACUUGUUAUCAUCAGCACUUGUUAUCAUCACCUUAAAGAGUUUCAGCCAUUCUAAAGGUGUGUAGUGGUUUUCUCCCCACCUUUUAAUUUUCUUAAUAGUGCCCUUCAAAAAACAGAAGUUUUUAAUUUUGAUGAAAUCUAGUUUACCAAUUGUUUUCUUUUAUGGAUUGUGCUUUUUGUUGUUACAUGUAUGAAAUCUUUGCCUAACCCGAGAGUGCAAUAUUUUUUUUCCAUGUGUUCUUACAGAAGUCUUAUAUAUCUAUGUUUUACAUUUAGGUCUACGAUCAAUUUCAGUUAAUUUUCAUAUAGGGCCUAAGAUAUGGAUUCAGGUUCAUUUUCUGGCACAUGAACAUCCAUCUGUUCCAGCACCAUUUGGUGAAAAAAUGAUACUUUUCCAUUGAAUUACUUUUGCAUUUUUAUUGAAAAUAAGACAAAAUUCCAAAUACCAUAAUCCUGAAUGCUAAAAUCCCAAAAGAUCAAAGAUCCUAAAGUAUAAAUCCCUAAAGUCUAAAAUUCUGAAAAUCACAAUCACAGGAUAGGGUUUUUUUUCCUUUUCUUCUAUUUUUUUCACUAUUUUAAAUAGCAAAACAAUUCACUAUGCUAUAUAUUUCAUCGUUGCAUCAUUUCCAAAACUUGACGUAUAGGUUGUGCAGAGACGUUUAGAGAGUCCUAAUUUGUUUCAUGCAUUUUUUUGCAAAUGUGACUCCAUGAAAGUUCAUUAUCUCAAUGUUGAUUUUGUGUAUAAACAUUGUGUAUGUACAUGAAAACAUUGAAACCUCCUCAGUGAUGUCCUUUUUGUACACCUGCAUUUGUAAAAGACAACAUUUUUUGAGAUCUCAGCUCUUUGGGUGACUGCAUAUGUAGUGGUAAUCCAUUGUGGUUUUUGAUCAAUCUUGUCAAAAGACUUCGGUUUUUUAUCACAGUAUUUCAGAUGAGCACAUAUACAAAGCUGGUUGCACACAAUUACCAAUCAUAGUGAUAUGUGUUUACACAUUUUCCUUUUGACCUACUUCUUUAGGAAUACAGUUUAUCUGCUCAUAAAUGCUAUAUCUGUGCCAGGUAUAGUCGUAUACCUGAGUAUUUAUUCUUGCAAAAACAUGUACGCUAGUAUUGCUUCUUUUAUUGUGUAAAGCGGCCUAUGAAGUGUUCUGUUGUGUUUUUAUAUGUUUCUCAAAUAAAUCCCCCCCUCCCUUUUUUUUUGAGAUGCAGUCUCAUGUUGUUGCCAAGGCUGGAAUGUAGUGGUGUGAUUUGGGCUCACUGCAAACUCCGCCUCCCGGAUUCAAGCGAUUAUCCUGCCUCAGCCUCCCGAAUAGCUGGGAUUACAGGCAUGCACCACCAGGCCGGGCUAAUUUUUGUAUUUUUAGUAAAGAUGGAGUUUCACCAUGUUGGCCAGGCUGGUCUUGAACUCCUGACCUCAGGUGAUCCACCUGCCUCAGCCUCCCAAAGUGCUGGGAUUACAGGAGUGAGCCACUGUGCCCACACCCACUCCCCUUAAAAUGUAAGUAAAUAUCUUCAGGAAUUUUUAAAAUUAUUUUUUCCAGAAUUAUAUUUUCAGGAUUUUGGAUUUUAGGGAUUUUUGAUCUUUCAGAAUUUUAAGAGCUGGGAUUGUGUCUUUCAAGACUGCUUCUUCAGGGACUAUGACGGGCUUCCCUCUAGACAGCAUGGGCUAGGAAGCAUGUUCUGGAAUGUGACAUUUAAGCUGAGAACUGAAUUGUACAAAAAACCUAGCCACGCCAAUUACCCUAAGUGAAUUAAUGCAAAAAUAGAAAUCCAAAUACCACAUGUUUUCACUUAUAAGUGGGAGGCAAGCAUUGGGUGCACAGGGACAUAAAGAUGGGAAAAUAGACACUGGGGAUUCCAAAAGGCAGGAGGAAGGGAGAGGGUUGAAAACUUACCUAUUGGGCACUGUGUUCACUAUCUGGGUGAUGGGAUCAGUUGAAGCCCAAACCUCACUGUCAUGCAAUAAAUCCUUGUAACAAACCACUCACGUAGCUCCUGAAUCCAAAAGAAAAAAAAAACCAAAAAACAAUAUUAACUUUUACCCGAAAACCACCUAGCCACAGAAACCAGGGGGCAGUGGUGGAGAGGAGGCCCCAGGAGGAUUCUAGGUGAGGUGGCUGGACAUGCAGAAGCCCUGCUGGGGAAGGAAGAGGUUUUGUGUUUAGGAAGUGAAAGCCCAGGUAGCUGAGCUGUGGCGAGCCGGGAAGAAUGAAGGGAUGAGACAGCAGAGACACAGGCUUCGGUUCUGGGGGUCCUGCUGCUGCCCCACCUCCUCAAUGGUCCUCCUGGCCCCUCUCUGCUAAGCAGGAAGCAAUGGCAUCUUUUUUUUUUUUUCUUUUUUUGAGACGGAGUCUGGCUCUGUCGCCCAGGCUGGAAUGCAGUGGCGCAAUCUCGGCUCACUGCAAGCUCCGCCUCCUGGGUUCACACCAUUCUCCUGCCUCAGCCUCCCGAGUAGCUGGGACUACAGGCGCCCGCCACCACGCCCGGCUAAUUUUUUGUAUUUUUAGUAGAGACGGGGUUUCACCGUGUUGGCCAGGAUGGUCUCGAUCUCCUGACCUCGUGAUCCGCCUGCCUUGGCUUCCCAAAGUGCUGCGAUUACAGGCAUGAGCCACCGCGCCCGGCCACAAUGGCAUCUUUUACCCAUGAAGUUGUCGGCACAGUUGGGAAAUAGCAGGCAGUUCCAGCGGAGUUUCUCAAGGCUUGGAUUUGGCUAGGAAGUUAGGCGGUAGUGGGGACAGACUCAGAGGUUUUAGGAAUGACCACCCUGUUUCCAGUAUGUAGGAAAAUGACUUCUUGAGACAGAAAACUCUGAAAUUCUUUUUUUUUUUUUUUUUUCAGAUGGAGUUUCGCUCUUGUCACCCAGGCUGGAGUGCAAUGGUGUGAUCUCGGCUCACUGCAUCCUCCGUCUGCUGGGUUCAAGCGAUUCUCCUGCCUCAGCCUCUCAAGUAGCUGGAAUUACAGGUGCCCGCCACCAUGCCCAGCUAAUUUUUGUAUUUUUAGUAGAGACGGGGUUUCGCCACGUUGGCCAGGCUAGUCUCGAACUCCUGGCCUCAGGUGAUCCACCCACCUCAGCCUCCCAAAGUGCUGGGAUUACAGGCAUGAGCCACCACACCCGGCUGAAAUUCUUUUUGUUUUAUUUUUGUCAAACUUGGUGGCAGAGUGUGCAAAAGAACAGAAUGAGGUUUUGGAAAUGUUGGAUUUGUAGUAUUUUUGUGAUGUCCGGUUGAAGAUGUGAGGCAGCCAGUUACAAUUGUGGAUCUGCAGCCUGUGGGAGAGCCCUGGGUUAUUGGUGUGAAUUCAGGACUUGGUGGUGGGUUCCUUUCCUGUGGUUGCUGUAACAAAGGACCACAGCACAGCGGCUUGAGCAACAGAUGCCUUCUCCUUCAUGGCUCCGGAGGCAGAAAGCCUGCGGGCGAGGUGUCAUCAGGCUUCUCCUAGGGCUGUGAGGGGCCUGCUCCAGGCCUCCAUCCUCACUUCCGGCAGCCUUGGGCACUCCUGGGCUUCUAGGUGGCCACCUUCUCCCUGGGUCAUUAUGUCGUCUUCCUCUGUGUGGUUCUGCCUCUGCAUCCAAAUUUCCCUGCUCUGUAAGGACCCUGGAUUAUGCCCCACCCCAAUCACCUAAAGCUUACCUGCAUCCUCUGCAGAUACCUUUUUUCUAAAUGGGCCACAUGGAUAGGUACUGCGGGCUAGGACUUCAAUGUCUUUUGGGGGACACAAUUCUACCUCUAGCAGAUGGUGAUGCAGCUGUAAGCCUGGGUGACAUCACCUGGAGAGAGUUAGGGGUAAGAGCAGAAGAGGCCACGUGCCCAGCCUGGAAGAACUGUGUGAGUUCAUAAUAACAGUGGCCAAGGAGGGGAGAGAGGAGAGAGGCGAGGGGAGCAGGCAACAGGGAAACACAGAGGCGGCAGCCCAGAGCUCGGAGGAGGAGAGGCUGUGAAGGAGGGUGAGGUAUAGUCUCAAAUGCUGCUGAAAGGUUAAGUAUGUUGCAGUAAUUUGAAGGCUAAAACAUGCCAUUGGAUUUCAUAGUCAGGCAUCACCUGUGCCCUGUGCCUGAACUGCUGUGGUGUAGAUGAGCCUGGCUGAGGAAGCAGCCAGCCAGAGGGGAAGGAGUGGAGCCAGGCUCCGGGCCUGCUUAAGGGUUGGAAGAGGGUAGACCAGCUGCCAGAAGGCGCAUGGGCUCGGGCAGGGAGAGGCUUUUAAAAACGGGAGGGAUCUUAGAAGAAAGAGGAUCCAGUGGGUUGGAGAAAGUAAAGGGGUCAGCACGGCAGGUCCGGGAGUUGAAGGAGCAGCGGUGAGGGCUGACUGAGCAAGCGAUCUGCGAUCUGCUGGGAGAGGCUCCGGCGCUGAUCCCAUAGAUUCGCAGCGAUUUCGGAAGAUGAGUCCGGGGUGUGGCUGUGGGAAGGAUGGUCAGACAUAUUUUUCCUCUAUUGUAUUAAUGUCUUAUGUGAAGAUGGAGUAACCUCUUGGCUACCUAAUAUAUAUAUACAUAUAUAUAUAUAUAUAUAUCUAUCACAUCUUCUCACACAUUUAAUUGUAAAAAUGCUCCUACUUAAUCCUAAUCCAGCCACCUUCUGUGCAAUUCCAAAUGUGCUCACCUUCUCCCCAGUGGGUAACAAUCCAAAAUCACAUACAGGUUCUGUACUGUGAAGUGACACAAUUUAGCCCCUCUGAGUUCAGGUUUUCUAGGUAGUGUCAAUUCCUCCAUUAGCUUGGAUUUGAUCAGGUUUGUGACUUCUCACCAUUCUGCAGAUUAUGGCAUAAAUGAUAAAAGUAGCUUCUCCUGCCUACCCGAUACAGUGAAAUGGAAUAAAAAUCAAACCAAAAACGGGGAAAGAAGUGCCUACAUUGAUAACUGGUACAGAUUAUAUAAUAGCAUAUCUCGCUGAGCAAGCUUAGCAGGAUGAAUGAUAGAAACAAUGGGUCUCAUGAGCAUUCUCUUUGUUGCCUCACUUCUCUGGAUGUAGAAUAAAUUGUUGGAACCACCUUCAGAAAAGGCACCAAGGGAGGAUUUCCUACUGGUGCUUGUGGUGGUGAUGGCAGGCAGGUGUUUGAGGAGAUGCUAGUGAAUGGCUUUGAUCCUGGCACUUGUGGUGGUGAUGGCAGGCAGGUGUUUGAGGAGAUGCUAGUGAAUGGCUUUGAUCCUGGCACUUCAAUGUUGGGGCUUGGUUUAGGGUCUACCAUAAUGCUGGACGGUCACAGGUCUCUGUACAACAGGCUAGGGACUUUUUUUGACAGUACAACUUCCCUAAAACUGUAACUAAUUUCUUCACAGUUGUAUUUAGGAUCUUGUAUCCAAUGCCAGAAAUCUUGUCUUGUUCUCAAUUUGCUAAAGGAAUAGACAUGGUCCACACAACCUUUAGGCCUUUUGUUUGUUUGUUCUUUUUUCGCAUUUUGUCAAGAGGAUCUUUCUAUGACUCUAACUCAGCCACAUAGAGUUUGCCUCUGGAAUAGUUAGGAGUCUUUCUUUAAUCUUCCCUUGAGUGUCACCCUUGUCCUUUCAUUGCAUUUCAGACCAGCGCAUUUAGCAAUAGAAAAAGGCACCUUCAUUUUUGUUUGUAAGAUCCAGCAUGGUGGCGUGGACCUGUAGUCCCAGCUACUCGGGAGACUGAGGUGGAGAGGAUUGCUUGACCCCAAAGGGUAAAGGCUGUAGUAAGCCAUGAUCAUGCCACUGCACUCCAGAAUGGGCAACAGAGCUAGACCCUGUCUCAAAAAAAAAAUUAUUGCCAUAAUAUUUGUAACAUUCUUUCAUUACAU